rnacentral:rRNA from 1 species
UACGUAGGGUGCAAGCGUUAAUCGGAAUUACUGGGCGUAAAGCGUGCGCAGGCGGUGAUGUAAGACAGUUGUGAAAUCCCCGGGCUCAACCUGGGAACUGCAUCUGUGACUGCAUCGCUGGAGUGCGGCAGAGGGGGAUGGAAUUCCGCGUGUAGCAGUGAAAUGCGUAGAUAUGCGGAGGAACCCCGAUGGUGAAGGCAAUCCCCUGGGCCUGCACUGACGCUCAUGCACGAAAGCCGUGGGGAGCAAACAGG